rnacentral:rRNA from 1 species
ACCUGGGGAGUACGAUCGCAAGGUUGAAACUCAAAGGAAUUGAACGGGGGCCCGCACAAGCGGUGGAUUAUGUGGUUUAAUUCGAAGCAACGCGAAGAACCUUACCAGGGCUUGACAUCCUACUAACGAAGUAGAGAUACAUCAGGUGCCCUUCGGGGAAAGUAGAGACAGGUGGUGCAUGGUUGCCGUCAGCUCGUGUCGUGAGAUGUUGGGUUAAGUCCCGCAACGAGCGCAACCCCUAUUGUUAGUUGCUACGCAAGAGCACUCUAGCGAGACUGCCGUUGACAAAACGGAGGAAGGCGGGGACGACGUCAAAUCAUCAUGCCCCUUAUGUCCUGGGCUACACACGUAAUACAAUGGCGGUCAACAGAGGGAUGCAAAGCCGCGAGGCCGAGCGAACCCCUAAAAGCCGUCCCAGUUCGGAUUGCAGGCUGCAACCCGCCUGCAUGAAGUCGGAAUCGCUAGUAAUCGCGGAUCAGCAUGCCGCGGUGAAUACGUUC